AGCAGCCGCGGUAAUUCCAGCUCCAAUAGCGUAUAUUAAAGUUGUUGCAGUUAAAAAGCUCGUAGUUGAACCUUAGGCCCGUGCGGGUGGUCCGUCCUCUGGGCGAGCACUGCCUCGUCGCGGGUCUCACCUUCUGGCGAGCGUGGAUGCCAUUCACUUGGUGUCGGCGGGAACCAGGACCUUUACCUUGAAAAAUUAGAGUGCUCAAAGCGGGCUCGUACGCUUGAAUACAUUAGCAUGGAAUAAUGAAAUAGGACGACGGUUCUAUUUUGUUGGUUUCCGGGACAGUCGUAAUGAUUAAUAGGGAUAGUUGGGGGCAUUCGUAUUCAAUUGUCAGAGGUGAAAUUCUUGGAUUUAUUGAAGACGAACUACUGCGAAAGCAUUUGCCAAGGAUGUUUUCAUUAAUCAAGAACGAAAGUUGGGGGAUCGAGGACGAUCAGAUACCGUCGUAGUCUCAACCAUAAACUAUGCC
rnacentral:sRNA from 1 species